rnacentral:rRNA from 1 species
AAUGAACGCUGGCGGCGUGCCUUACACAUGCAAGUCGAACGGCAGCACGGGGGCAACCCUGGUGGCGAGUGGCGGACGGGUGAGUAAAGCAUCGGAACGUAUCCUGGAGUGGGGGAUAACGUAGCGAAAGUUACGCUAAUACCGCAUAUUCUGUGAGCAGGAAAGCAGGGGAUCGCAAGACCUUGCGCUCUGGGAGCGGCCGAUGUCGGAUUAGCUAGUUGGUGGGGUAAAGGCCUACCAAGGCGACGAUCCGUAGCGGGUCUGAGAGGAUGAUCCGCCACACUGGGACUGAGACACGGCCCAGACUCCUACGGGAGGCAGCAGUGGGGAAUUUUGGACAAUGGGCGCAAGCCUGAUCCAGCCAUGCCGCGUGAGUGAAGAAGGCCUCGGUUGUAAGCUCUUUCGCGGGAGAAUUGCACGGGUUAAGUAUCCUGUGUAGAUGACGGUACCCGAAUAAGAAGCACCGGCUAACUACGUGCCAGCAGCCGCGGU